rnacentral:tRNA from 1 species
GGCUCCAUCGUCUAGUGGUUAGGACGCUAGGCUUUCAUCCUAGGAACGGGGGUUCGAUUCCCCCUGGAGUCACCA